UGGGGAAUAUUGCACAAUGGGCGCAAGCCUGAUGCAGCCAUGCCGCGUGUAUGAAGAAGGCCUUCGGGUUGUAAAGUACUUUCAGCGAGGAGGAAGGCGUUGUGGUUAAUAACCGCAACGAUUGACGUUACUCGCAGAAGAAGCACCGGCUAACUCCGUGCCAGCAGCCGCGGUAAUACGGAGGGUGCAAGCGUUAAUCGGAAUUACUGGGCGUAAAGCGCAAGCAGGCGGUCUGUCAAAUCGGAUGUGAAAUCCCCGGGCUCAACCUGGGAACUGCAUCCGAAACUGGCAGGCUAGAGUCUUGUAGAGGGGGGUAGAAUUCCAGGUGUAGCGGUGAAAUGCGUAGAGAUCUGGAGGAAUACCGGUGGCGAAGGCGGCCCCCUGGACAAAGACUGACGCUCAGGUGCGAAAGCGUGGGGAGCAAACA
rnacentral:rRNA from 1 species